rnacentral:misc_RNA from 1 species
UCCGGUUUGUCACCGGCGGUCUCCUUAGAGUUCCCAACUGAAUGAUGGCAACUAAGGACAAGGGUUGCGCUCGUUGCGGGACUUAACCCAACAUCUCACGACACGAGCUGACGACAGCCAUGCAGCACCUGUGCGGACUCCGGCCGAACCGAAGGGAGCGUCUCUGCUCCCGGCGAGUCCCAUGUCAAGGGCUGGUAAGGUUCUGCGCGUUGCGUCGAAUUGAACCACAUGCUCCACCGCUUGUGCGGGCCCCCGUCAAUUCCUUUGAGUUUCAGCCUUGCGGCCGUACUCCCCAGGCGGGGUACUUAUUGCGUUAGCGACGGCACCGAGGGGUCGCUCCCCCCGGCGCCUAGUACCCAUCGUUUACGGCGUGGACUAC